UACGUAGGGGGCUAGCGUUGUCCGGAUUUAUUGGGCGUAAAGAGCGUGUAGGCGGCCAGGUAGGUCUGCUGUGAAAACUCGAGGCUCAACCUCGAGACGUCGGCGGAAACCAUCUGGCUAGAGUCCGGAAGAGGAGAGUGGAAUUCCUGGUGUAGCGGUGGAAUGCGCAGAUAUCAGGAGGAACACCAACGGCGAAGGCAGCUCGCUGGGACGGUACUGACGCUGAGGCGCGAAAGCUAGGGGAGCAAACGGG
rnacentral:rRNA from 1 species